AAAAAAAGGUGUAGGUCUUGAUGUAGGUCUUGACUAAUUAGACACGCUCUAAAAAAAAUCGGCGGGUCCAUAACUUUAUCUUAAUAAUGUAUCAAUGCUUUACUUCAGAUCCACUUUGGCCUUGUCCUAAAUAUGCGUGAUAUAUUUGCCACUGGAGCACCGGAUUUAUCAGUUUCAUAUACAGUUUUCAACGGAUAAUUGUCUCAAAC
rnacentral:lncRNA from 1 species